rnacentral:sRNA from 1 species
UCCCAAACUCCUUACCGUUUUGUUCCAUCCUCUAAAAAAUACAAAAAAAA